rnacentral:tRNA from 2 species
GCGUCCGUAGCUCAGUUGGUUAGAGCACCACCUUGACAUGGUGGGGGUCAGUGGUUCGAUUCCACUCGGACGUACCA